AGCUCCACCUGUACCACCAGUGCAACGAGGGUGGAGAAUUUUUUCUAAAAAAAAAAGAAACCACAGGAAGUACAUCUGCUGGGUGUUUUGGAGGAUGGAGUUGAGAGUGGUUCUCCCACUUUAGGUCCUGAGAAACUAAUUCCCAAGAACUUGAAAGUCUUAAUGGUUGACAACGGCAGUUGGAUCAUGUGAGGGGCAGCUGUGUCAAAGAUGUUCCUUAAAGUCCACUAACAUCUCUACAGUCUUGAGCAUGGAAAUAUGCUCACCUUGGAUUUGGCAUCUGACAAGUGAAAAGUACUUAAACUGAUCAUUGAGGAAGGACGGUAAUCCAAUGUUGGGCAGGUUUGCCUCACAGGUUAUAUCUGUGUGAAGUUUGUAACUUCAUGUGCUUUGGCUAUGUGAGUGAGAUUUAUCCACCACCAGGUGAAACCCAAUGGUCACAAGACGUUUCUGAAUUAAAAACUGUAUGCCAAAUACUAUGUUACAGCUCCAUAGGUUCAAUUUUUUCAAGAGCCUAAUGUGUGACAUGUGAUGACAAUGAGAAAUAAUGGACAUCCAGAUAAAUUGAUUUAACCUCCCUACCUGGGGUGGCCAAGAGGAAUUAACGUUUCAUUUUAAAUGAAAACUUCACAUCUUGCA